rnacentral:lncRNA from 1 species
UCCUGUCACUUGCACGGCUAGUUUUUGGACCAGGUUGUACCGAAGGCAUUCCCCUCUGGAUGCUUCCUGCCUUUGCACCUGCCACCAGAGUCAGUGGAGAAACUACAUUGUCUCCAAGCUUGUGUGAUCUGAUCUCUGUAGCAUAUGUAUGAGCCAUUUGUUGCUCGAGUCUCUGAGAAUCCAAUCAUUCCAGAAAACACUUCCAGUUGGGAACAGACAGGAACCAAUUUAAGAAUUCAACUUCAAGUUCAAGAAACAGUCCCCUAGGUCACAGAGCAACUGUAUGGGGGGAUUGCAGCCUCCUUUUCAGCAUGAACAUGUUCAUACCAACACAGACCAGGACUGCUGCCCACUGCAGGUCACCAUUCUCCAUUUCAUUUUUAUUCCAAUUGCCAUGAGAAUAAUAUUUACCCUGUUUACUAUCAGUGUGAGCAAGGACAGGCAGCAUCAUCAAGACUGGUAUUCCAAGGUUCUCCUGUUCAUAGUGGUGGGAAACUGCACUGGACCCAGUGCACAGCGUUCAACUCUUUGGUGGGAUCCUCAGUAGCCAUUCUCUCUGAGUCCAUAGUUACUGCUUUCCAUCCCU